GCUGUUUAAAGUUUGCUGAGGAUGAGCUGGUUUGGGGUGGGCUAUUUUGGCUCCCAGGUGAUGAGGUUGAUGGAAUCCAACAGGACAACGCUCUGCUGACUCCAUCUUGCCCAAUGUCUACCAGCCACUCAUUUCCUCUUCCCCCCGACCCCGACUCGUCCUCUUCUGAAGGGUCAAAAUGACUUUAUUUUCCUUGGAGGACCCCGCUUUCUUCAAGGGCUACUGUUUUCCUCAACCAGCGGAGAGAUCAUUUCAGGGAAAUCAUCACGACGGAAGAACAUCUUCAGAGGUGAAGUGGGAUUGGAAGUAGCCAGAAUGGAUUCCUUGACACUUUUCCUGAAGGACCAGGGGUGGGACUCCUCUAGCUGGGAGCCCAACUGGACACUGGAUCGACACCGGAAUGAUUCAGUAGGCUCGGUGGAGGUGUUCACCGCCUGGAGGAUAGCAGCCCACGGGAAGAAGGGAAAAGGGUGUCGGGCCUGCUUCAGGAGGAGUUUUGUUCUGAAUCCAACCUGCUGUUCCCCCCCGGCUCCUCCCGGAAACACCUGCUCUCCACUGCCUGCGACCGGUGAGGGAAACCAUUCGGAAGGCCAUUCGCUUUUGUUCAUACUCUUGGUGACAAUCGUUCUCGGCAGUUGGCAGCCCUAGACCUCCCUUUUAUGAGUCGACCCAUCAGUCCGCGGUAUUUAGUGCCCGCCAUGUGCGGGACGUCGUGCCGAGUGCUUGGGCGAGUGCCGUGCAACUGAGUUGAGAAACAUCUCCUUGCCUGCGGCCGCCUCCCCUCCGGCCCGGUCUGGCGUCGUAAGCGGGGACCCCAAAC
rnacentral:lncRNA from 1 species